GACGAACGCUGGCGGCGUGCUUAACACAUGCAAGUCGAACGGAAAGGCCCUGCUUUUGUGGGGUGCUCGAGUGGCGAACGGGUGAGUAACACGUGAGUAACCUGCCCUUGACUUUGGGAUAACUUCAGGAAACUGGGGCUAAUACCGGAUAGGAGCUCCUGCUGCAUGGUGGGGGUUGGAAAGUUUCGGCGGUUGGGGAUGGACUCGCGGCUUAUCAGCUUGUUGGUGGGGUAGUGGCUUACCAAGGCUUUGACGGGUAGCCGGCCUGAGAGGGUGACCGGCCACAUUGGGACUGAGGUAAGGCAGAGACUCCUAAGGGAGGCAGAAGUGGGGAAGAUUGCACCAUGGACGGAAGCCUGAUGAAGCAACGCCGCGUGCGGGAUGACGGCCUUCGGGUUGUAAACCGCUUUCGCCUGUGACGAAGGGUGAGUGGCGGUAAUGGGUAGAGAAGCAACGGCUAACUACGUG
rnacentral:rRNA from 1 species